GAUGAACGCUGGCGGCGUGCUUAACACAUGCAAGUCGAACGGAAAGGCUCCUGCUUGCAGGGGUACUCGAGUGGCGAACGGGUGGGUAACACGUGGGUGAUCUGCCCUGCACUUCGGGAUAAGCCUGGGAAACUGGGUCUAAUACCGGAUAGGACCACAUUUUGGAUGGUGUGGUGGAAAGUUUUUCGGUGUGGGAUGAGCUCGCGGCCUAUCAGCUUGUUGGUGGGGUAAUGGCCUACCAAGGCGUCGACGGGUAGCCGGCCUGAGAGGGUGUACGGCCACAUUGGGACUGAGAUACGGCCCAGACUCCUACGGGAGGCAGCAGUGGGGAAUAUUGCACAAUGGGCGCAAGCCUGAUGCAGCGACGCCGCGUGGGGGAUGACGGCCUUCGGGUUGUAAACUCCUUUCGCUAGGGACGAAGCGCAAGUGACGGUACCUGGAGAAGAAGCACCGGCUAACUACGUG
rnacentral:rRNA from 1 species